GACGAAGGGGGCUAGCGUUGUUCGGAUUUACUGGGCGUAAAGGGCGCGUAGGCGGCCACCGCAAGUCGACUGUGAAAUCUCCGGGCUUAACCCGGAAAGGUCAGCCGAUACUGCGGGGCUAGAGUGCAGAAGGGGCAACUGGAAUUCUCGGUGUAGCGGUGAAAUGCGUAGAUAUCGGGAGGAACACCAGCGGCGAAGGCGGCACUCUGGGCUGGUACUGACGCUGAGGAGCGAAAGCGUGGGUAGCAAACAGG
rnacentral:rRNA from 1 species